GUUCCGGUGGCCUAAUGGUUAGAGCGACCGCCUCAGAAGCAGGAGGUUGUGGGUUAAAUCCACGUUCGAGUCA